rnacentral:rRNA from 1 species
GAUGAACGCUGGCGGCGUGCUUAACACAUGCAAGUCGAACGGGGAACAAAUUAUUGAAGCUUCGGCAGAUCUAGCUUGUUCCUAGUGGCGGACGGGUGAGUAACGCGUGGGUAACCUGCCUCACACUGGGGGAUAACAGUCAGAAAUGGCUGCUAAUACCGCAUAAGCGCAUAGUACCGCAUGGUACAGUGUGAAAAACUCCGGUGGUGUGAGAUGGACCCGCGUUGGAUUAGCUAGUUGGCAGGGCAGCGGCCUACCAAGGCGACGAUCCAUAGCCGGCCUGAGAGGGUGAACGGCCACAUUGGGACUGAGACACGGCCCAGACUCCUACGGGAGGCAGCAGUGGGGAAUAUUGCACAAUGGGGGAAACCCUGAUGCAGCGACGCCGCGUGAAGGAAGAAGUAUCUCGGUAUGUAAACUUCUAUCAG